rnacentral:rRNA from 1 species
ACGGAGGGUGCAAGCGUUAAUCGGAAUUACUGGGCGUAAAGCGCACGCAGGCGGUUUGUUAAGUCAGAUGUGAAAUCCCCGGGCUCAACCUGGGAACUGCAUCUGAUACUGGCAAGCUUGAGUCUCGUAGAGGGGGGUAGAAUUCCCGGUGUAGCGGUGAAAUGCGUAGAGAUCGGGAGGAACACCAGUGGCGAAGGCGACUUACUGGACUGUAACUGACGCUGAGGCGCGAAAGUGUGGGGAGCAAACAG